rnacentral:rRNA from 1 species
GCCUUGCGCGCACCGGCGGACGGCUCAGUAACACGUCGGUAACCUACCCUCGGGAGGAGGAUAACCCCGGGAAACUGGGGCUAAUCCCCCAUAGGCCUGAGGUACUGGAAGGUCCUCAGACCGAAAGGGGCUUUGCCCGCCCGAGGAUGGGCCGGCGGCCGAUUAGGUAGUUGGUGGGGUAACGGCCCACCAAGCCGAAGAUCGGUACGGGCCAUGAGAGUGGGAGCCCGGAGAUGGACACUGAGACACGGGUCCAGGCCCUACGGGGCGCAGCAGGCGCGAAACCUCCGCAAUGCUCGAAAGAGCGACGGGGGGACCCCCAGUGCCGUGCAUCGCCACGGCUUUUCCGGAGUGUAAAGAGCUCCGGGAAUAGGGGCUGGGCAAGGCCGGUGGCAGCCGCCGCGGUAAUACCGGCGGCCCGAGUGGUGGCCGCUAUUAUUGGGCCUAAAGCGUCCGUAGCCGGGCCAGUAAGUCCCUGGCGAAAUCCCACGGCUCAACCGUGGGGCUUGCUGGGGAUACUGCUGGCCUUGNGACCGGGAGAGGCGGAGGGUACUCCUGGGGUAGGGGUGAAAUCCUAUAAUCCCAGGAGGACCGCCAGUGGCGAAGGCGCUCCGCU